rnacentral:rRNA from 1 species
UAGAGCGGCGGACGGGUGGAGUAACACGUGGACAAUCUGCCCCCCGGCCCGGGAUAGCCCAGGGAAACCUGGAUUAAUACCGGAUGAGACGGGACCCGCGAAGGCGGGACCCGGGAAAGGCGCUGCGGCGCCGCCGGGGGAUGAGUCUGCGUCCCAUUAGCUAGACGGCGGGGUAACGGCCCACCGUGGCGACGAUGGGUAGCCGGCCUGAGAGGGUGGACGGCCACAUUGGAACUGAGACACGGUCCAGGACUCCUACGGGAGGCAGGCAGCUAAGAAUCUUCCGCAAUGGGCGAAAGCCUGACGGAGCGACGCCCGCGUGAACGAAGAAGGCCGUGAGGUUGUAAAGUUCUUUUCGGGAGGGGGAACAACCGUGGCAGGGAAUGGGCCGCGGGAUGACGUGAAUCCCGGAAUAAGCCCCGGCUAACUACGUGCCAGCCGCAGC